rnacentral:rRNA from 1 species
CACGUUAACGAACGAGACCUUAACCUGCUAAAUAGCUUGGCGAAUCCUUGAUUCGUGCAAGCUUCUUAGAGGGACUAUUGACGUUUAGUCAAUGGAAGUUUGAGGCAAUAACAGGUCUGUGAUGCCCUUAGAUGUCCUGGGCCGCACGCGCGCUACACUGAUGAAGUCAGCGAGUUCUUCCUUGGCCGGAAGGUCCGGGUAAUCUUUUGAAACUUCAUCGUGCUGGGGAUAGUGCAUUGCAAUUAUUGCACUUCAACGAGGAAUUCCUAGUAAGCGCAAGUCAUCAGCUUGCGUUGAUUACGUCCCUGCCCUUUGUACACACCGCCCGUCGCUAAUACCGAUUGAAUGGAUAA